AGGAUGAGCGCUGGCGGCGUGCUUAACACAUGCAAGUCAAGGGGGCCCAGCAAUGGGCAACCGGCGAACGGGUGCGUAACACGUGAGCAACCUACCGAAAUGUGGGGGAUAGCCGGCCCAACGGCCGGGUAAUACCGCAUACGCUCGAGACCAGGCAUUUGGACUCGAGGAAAUUUACGGAGCAUUUCGAGGGGCUCGCGGCCUAUCAGCUAGUUGGUGAGGUAACGGCUCACCAAGGCUACGACGGGUAGCUGGUCUGAGAGGAUGGCCAGCCACAUUGGGACUGAGAUACGGCCCAGACUCCUACGGGUGGCAGCAGUGGGGAAUCUGCGCAAUGGCCUAAGGCUGACGCAGCGACGCCGCGUGAGGAUGACGCUCGUUCGGAGUGUAAACCUCUUUUUGUCUGAGACGUAACUGUCAGCUUUAGCUUGAUUUGACGUAGUCGGACGAAUAAGCACCGGACUAACUCCGUGCCAGCACGCCGACGGUAACUCGUA
rnacentral:rRNA from 1 species